GGGAAUAUAGUUUAGAUUGGUAAAACAUAUGUUUUGCAAACAUGAGAUCAUCGGUUCAAGUCCGGUUAUUUCCA
rnacentral:tRNA from 1 species